rnacentral:rRNA from 1 species
AUUGAACGCUGGCGGCGUGCUUAACACAUGCAAGUCGAACGAUGAACCGGAGCUUGCUCUGGGGAUUAGUGGCGAACGGGUGAGUAACACGUGGGCAACCUGCCCCAGACACCGGGAUAACCAUUCGAAAGGAUGGCUAAUACCGGAUACGACCACUUCGGGCAUCCGAUGGUGGUGGAAAGGAUUCUGGUCUGGGAUGGGCCCGCGGCCUAUCAGCUUGUUGGUGGGGUAAUGGCCUACCAAGGCGACGACGGGUAGCCGGCCUGAGAGGGCGACCGGCCACACUGGGACUGAGACACGGCCCAGACUCCUACGGGAGGCAGCAGUGGGGAAUAUUGCGCAAUGGGCGAAAGCCUGACGCAGCGACGCCGCGUGAGGGACGAAGGUCUUCGGAUUGUAAACCUCUUUCAGCAGGGAUGAAGCGAAAGUGACAGUACCUGCAGAAGAAGCACCGGCUAACUACGUGCCAGCCGCCGCGGUAACAC